rnacentral:rRNA from 1 species
AUUCCAUACCACCCUGAACACACCCAGUCUCAUCUGAUCUUGGAAGCUAAGUGGGCUCAGGCCUGAUUAGAAUA